GACGAACGCUGGCGGCGUGCUUAACACAUGCAAGUCGAACGGAAAGGCCCUGCUUUUUUGGUGUGCUCGAGUGGCGAACGUGUGAGUAACACGUGAGUAACCUGCCCUUGACUUUGGGAUAACUUCGGGAAACUGGGUCUUAUACCGGAUAGGAGCUCCUGCUGCAUUGUGGGGUUUGGAAAGUUUCGGCGGUUGGGGAUGGACUCGCGGCUUAUCAGCUUGUUGGUGGGGUAGUGGCUUACCAAGGCUUUGACGGGUAGCCGGCCUGAGAGGGUGACCGGCCACAUUGGGACUGAGAUACGGCCCAGACUCCUACGGGAGGCAGCAGUGGGGAAUAUUGCACAAUGGGCGGAAGCCUGAUGCAGCAACGCCGCGUGCGGGAUGACGGCCUUCGGGUUGUAAACCGCUUUCGCCUGUGACGAAGCGUGAGUGACGGUAAUGGGUAAAGAAGCACCGGCUAACUACGUG
rnacentral:rRNA from 1 species